rfam:Triticum aestivum genome assembly, contig: Triticum_aestivum_CS42_TGACv1_scaffold_500917_6BL
UAUAUACUCGCUCCGUCCAAAAAUACUUGUCAUCAAAAUGGAUAAAAAGGGAUGUAUCUAGAACUAAAAUACGUCUAGAUACAUAUCCUUUUAUUCAUUUUGAUGACAAGUAUUUCCGGACGGAGGGAGUACCUA